CAUAACCCCGGGAACCUGGGGAUAAUUCCGGAUAACGCAUAUUUGCUGGAAUGCUUUAUGCGUCAAAAGGAUUCGUCUGCCCAAGGAUGGGUCUGCGGCCUAUCAGGUAGUAGUGGGUGUAAUGUACCUACUAGCCAGCGACGGGUACGGGUUGUGAGAGCAAGAGCCCGGAGAUGGAUUCUGAGACAUGAAUCCAGGCCCUACGGGGCGCAGCAGGCGCGAAAACUUUACAAUGCGGGAAACCGUGAUAAGGGGACACCGAGUGCCAGCAUCAUAUGCUGGCUGUCCGGAUGUGUAAAAUACAUCCGUUAGCAAGGGCCGGGCAAGACCGGUGCCAGCCGCCGCGGUAACACCGGCGGCCCGAGUGGUGAUCGUGAUUAUUGGGUCUAAAGGGUCCGUAGCCGGUUUGGUCAGUCCUCCGGGAAAUCUGAUAGCUCAACUAUUAGGCUUUCGGGGGAUACUGCCAGACUUGGAACCGGGAGAGGUAAGAGGUACUACAGGGGUAGGAGUGAAAUCUUGUAAUCCCUGUGGGACCACCUGUGGCGAAGGCGUCUUACCAGAACGGGUUCGAGCGUGAGGGACGAAAGCUGGGGGCACGAACCGGAUUAGAUAACCGGGUUAUCCCAGCCGUAAACCAUGCUCGCUAAGUGUCUUGCAUGGCGCGCCCGUGUCUGUUGUCUCACAGGAACGCUGAAAGAGCGCCAUGUGGAAAUAGAAGGGCAAAAGUGUAGAAUUAUAAAGAUUUCGGGGGAGAAGCACAACAGGGGGAGCAUCCGUUUAUUAUAUAGGACUCACCGCAGAAUUCGCGGGGCGGCGACACCAAGAUGUUGAGCAAGAUGAUUUCUCUGCCUGAAUCAAAGAAGGUAGUUGACU
rnacentral:rRNA from 1 species